GAACUACGGAUCACUCCAACCCAUGUGAACGUUACCAAACUGUUGCCUCGGCGGGAUCUCUGCCCCGGGUGCGUCGCAGCCCCGGACCAAGGCGCCCGCCGGAGGACCAACCAAAACUCUUUUUGUAUACCCCCUCGCGGGUUUUUUAUAAUCUGAGCCUUCUCGGCGCCUCUCGUAGGCGUUUCGAAAAUGAAUCAAAACUUUCAACAACGGAUCUCUUGGUUCUGGCAUCGAUGAAGAACGCAGCGAAAUGCGAUAAGUAAUGUGAAUUGCAGAAUUCAGUGAAUCAUCGAAUCUUUGAACGCACAUUGCGCCCGCCAGUAUUCUGGCGGGCAUGCCUGUCCGAGCGUCAUUUCAACCCUCGAACCCCUCCGGGGGGUCGGCGUUGGGGAUCGGCCCUGCCUCUUGGCGGUGGCCGUCUCCGAAAUACAGUGGCGGUCUCGCCGCAGCCUCUCCUGCGCAGUAGUUUGCACACUCGCAUCGGGAGCGCGGCGCGUCCACAGCCGUUAAACACCCAACUUCUGAAAUGUUGACCUCGGAUCAGGUAGGAAUACCCGCUGAACUUAAGCAUAUCAAUAAGCGGAGGAACAUAUCGAUAAGCGGAGGAGCUUAUUAAGGAGCGGAGAGCAUAUCGCUGGGGGGAGCUGGGCGUGCGGGCGCCGCUAGAAGUUG
rnacentral:rRNA from 1 species